rnacentral:rRNA from 1 species
UAAUACGGAGGGUGCAAGCGUUAAUCGGAAUUACUGGGCGUAAAGCGCACGCAGGCGGUUGGAUAAGUUAGAUGUGAAAGCCCCGGGCUCAACCUGGGAAUUGCAUUUAAAACUGUCCAGCUAGAGUCUUGUAGAGGGGGGUAGAAUUCCAGGUGUAGCGGUGAAAUGCGUAGAGAUCUGGAGGAAUACCGGUGGCGAAGGCGGCCCCCUGGACAAAGACUGACGCUCAGGUGCGAAAGCGUGGGGAGCAAACAGGAUUAGAUACCCUGGUAGUCCACGCCGUAAACGAUGUCGAUUUGGAGGCUGUGUCCUUGAGACGUGGCUUCCGGAGCUAACGCGUUAAAUCGACCGCCUGGGGAGUACGGCCGCAAGGUUAAAACUCAAAUGAAUUGACGGGGGCCCGCACAAGCGGUGGAGCAUGUGGUUUAAUUCGAUGCAACGCGAAGAACCUUACCUGGCCUUGACAUGUCUGGAAUCCUGCAGAGAUGCGGGAGUGCCUUCGGGAAUCAGAACAC